GAUGAAGAACGCAGCGAAAUGCGAUAAGUAAUGUGAAUUGCAGAAGUUAGUGAAUCAUCGAAUGUUUGAACGCACAUUUCGCCCCUUGGCAUUCCGAAGGGCAUGCCUGUUCGAGCGUCAUGAUCAAAUCUCAAGCCUUGCUUGGUAUUGGGUUUUCGUCUCUCUCGUCUUUGUUACGGGUAUUGACGUGCCUGAAAAUCAAUGGCAGUGCCUUAUUAGACUCAAGCGUAGCAGACUGACACGCUUUAGAGAACUUUUGUAGGUCCUGUCAAUAAAAUAAUAAGUUGGACCUCGGAUCAGGUAGGGAUACCCGCUGAACUUAAGCAUAUCAAUAAGCGGAGGA
rnacentral:misc_RNA from 1 species